rfam:Gossypium hirsutum cultivar TM-1 chromosome 7, whole genome shotgun sequence
UAUUAAAAAAUUCAUCCAUUUCGACUGUUAAAAAUUGGUGUGUCUGACGAAAUAACUAGACAAUUACAUGUGGCGUGUCACAUUUACCUCAUGCUAACAUAUAUGAACCAAUUUUUAAUGGUAGAUUUGGUUGAAUUUUUAACA